UACGUAGGGGGCAAGCGUUGUCCGGAUUUAUUGGGCGUAAAGGGCGCGUAGGCGGCUUGGCAAGUGGAAGGUGAAAUCCCUCGGCUUAACCGGGGAACUGCGUCCGAUACUGGAUGGCUUGAGGUUGGGAGAGGGAUGCGGAAUUCCAGGUGUAGCGGUGAAAUGCGUAGAUAUCUGGAGGAACACCUGUGGCGAAAGCGGCGCACUGGACCACAACUGACGCUGAGGCGCGAAAGCUAGGGGAGCAAACAGG
rnacentral:rRNA from 1 species